AGAGUUUGAUCAUGGCUCAGAUUGAACGCUGGCGGCGUGCCUAACACAUGCAAGUCGAGCGGUAACAGGUGUAGCAAUACAUGCUGACGAGCGGCGAACGGGUGAGUAAUGCUUCGGAAUCUACCCUCUAGUGGGGAAUAACCAGCCGAAAGGUUGGCUAAUACCGCAUACGUCCUACGGGAGAAAGCAGGGGAUCGUAAGACCUUGCGCUGAUGGAUGAGCCGAAGUCGGAUUAGCUAGUUGGUGGGGUAACGGCUCACCAAGGCGACGAUCCGUAGCUGGUCUGAGAGGACGACCAGCCACACUGGAACUGAGACACGGUCCAGACUCCUACGGGGGGCAGCAGUGGGGAAUAUUGGACAAUGGGGGCAACCCUGAUCCAGCGACGCCGCGUGUGUGAAGAAGGCCUGCGGGUUGUAAAGCACUUUUAGUGGGGAUGAAAUGUGCAGGGUUAAUACCUCUGCAUUUUGACCUAACCCACAGAAAAAGCACCGGCUAACUCUGUGCCAGCAGCCGCGGUAAUACAGAGGGUGCAAGCGUUAAUCGGAAUUACUGGGCGUAAAGCGUGCGCAGACGGUUACAUAAGUCGGGUGUGAAAGCCCCGGGCUCAACCUGGGAAUUGCAUUCGAGACUGUGUAGCUAGGGUACGGAAGAGGGAAGCGGAAUUUCAGGUGUAGCGGUGAAAUGCGUAGAUAUCUGAAGGAACACCAGUGGCGAAAGCGGCUUCCUGGUCCAGUACCGACGUUCAGGCACGAAAGCGUGGGGAGCAAACAGGAUUAGAUACCCCCGUAGUCC
rnacentral:rRNA from 1 species